AUCUAACUGACGAGUUCCUAAUCGGACGAAACUCGCGUCAUGGAU
rnacentral:hammerhead_ribozyme from 1 species